UCUUACGACGGUGCAGGCCUGGUCGUCCUCCAUAACACGGACUGGGGAACCAAUGCGAAGUCCUCUCUUGUGGUUGUGCGGAGCGAAUGUUCCAGUCGACGUUUCUUCAGUAACACGCAGAGGAAACCCCCAGAAUUCACUGGUAUCUGGGGUCACUAUUGGAGUUCGCCCUAUCUUUUCUAAACAGUACUCUGCCCAACAGAAGAUAACUAGCAAGCUUGAUUAGACUAGCUAAGCUAAGGACUAACAAUAAAAUACGAUUUAGUUAACAUCCGUAUGUACCGAAAGACCCAGCGGUUGUCACUGGAUUUGCUGUUUUAUUUCGUCACUCGGAAAAUUAUCCAUUAACACUGAGUUUACCUACUUACAAACAUAGACAUAAUAAAGAGUAGACACCGCAUUGGCUGCUGGGGCGCGAGAAGUACGGCCGCCAUCUUUGACCGGUCAUACUCCUAUUUGCGUAACAGCUGAAGCCACGAUGCCAGAGCACUGUGGAGCAUAUUCCUGCUCAUAUCGGCGGACUAUCGAAAGCAGGGCUCGGGGAUUACUUUUCACAAGUGCUGAGUGCUGCAGAGAGGGUGAUCCGCCAAGCUUCACCAAUGCCAGCUCCUAAGGUGUCGACAGUCACACACAUCGUCCGGGAGGAGAUUGGAACGGAGGAUGUUUUUCUGCUUGGGGAACACAUUGAGGAGACUCAGUUUGGCAUCGACAACCAUCAUUCUGACUUGUUGUCAUUGGUUGUGUCUGUGUUUCUCAAAAUAAGGCUGCACCACAUUACCAAACUCACCUCUCUUGAACUGCAGAAAGGGAGCACGAGGAAGAACUGUCCUCUUUCAGGGGUUUUAGAGCGUGUGCAUGUGUGUGGUUCCACGACAAUUCAAGACUUUAAUCCUAAAUUCCAGCUUCCCAAAACUAAUUCAAAGUUUUAUAUCUGUACUUUAACCUUACUCAUCACACAUAGUAUCUUUAUGUCAUAUCUGUCAUCAUUCUGACAAGAUUAACACUGAAACUGAAAGCAAUGGUUUAAAACUGCCUGAAAACAGUGGUCUGUCACAUUUUAUGUGAAUACUGCUGUAAGUGUUGGUGGGUCUGUAAAUACCUCUGUCUGUUUGUGUUUCAUGAACUCUAGCCUCAUGGUGUGUCUCCAGGAAUCCAAAUGUUGGUCUCCUUUGCCUUACACUGGGUUUGUGAGCUUGUGUAUAAUGAAGUUUAUCUUUACAUUAUGUCCUUGUGUUUGUGAUUGUCUUAGCCCUGAUCUCUUUCCCUCUGGGUUCUGAAAAGCACUUGUAACUGUGUUUUGAAAAUUGCUACAUUAAUUAAGUUUGAAGACUUUUCAAGGGAGUUUCAACAAAGUAAAUGUGCAGUUUAAAUAAAAAACUGUCACUUUUCAUUUCAUCCUGCUAUUUUAGACUGGGACCCAUGUGAGUAUGUUGGGAUGGGGGCUGUGAAAUGAGA
ensembl:lncRNA